rnacentral:lncRNA from 1 species
GGGUUACAAAUGGGUCGGAUGCUACAAACGGGUCAAUAUGCGGUCAUAUGGAGCCCCAUGAUGGAGGUUAAAAAAACAAUGCAAGGCAUUUUACCCACGUCACCACCAUGAGUGGGUUAUUCCCACUUCUUUUAUUUCCAUGUUUCUGCAGUUAUUUUCUAAGCUUUAUCUAGUUGUUUUUCUUGCUUCAAAAGUAGUACUUUAGUUUGUUUGUUUUCCCUGAAUUUAGGACGUGAGUUAGUGGGUUUUAUUCUAUAUGUAAGCAACUUUUGAAUGUCAAUGGUGCUCAAGUUUGGCCACUUGGGUGGUGUUCUUUGGACCCUGAUCGUGAGUCUCGGUGGUGUUUCUGUAUUCGAAACUUCGUUUAGGUUCGCCCGACGGAAUUGA